GAUGAACGCUAGCGGAAGGCAUAAUACAUGCAAGUCGAACGGAUGUAGCAAUACAUUAGUGGCGCACGGGUGCGUAACGCGUAUGCAACCUACCUUCAUCAGGGGGAUAACUACCCGAAAGGGUGGCUAACACCGCAUAAUACUAUUGAGUGGCAUCACUUUAUAUUUAAAUCUGAGGCGGAUGAAGCUGGGCAUGCGUCUGAUUAGCUAGUUGGUGUGGUAACGGCGCACCAAGGGGACGAUCAGUAGGGGAACUGAGAGGUUGGUCCCCCACACUGGCACUGAGAUACGGGCCAGACUCCUACGGGAGGCAGCAGUAGGGAAUAUUGGUCAAUGGUGGGAACACUGAACCAGCCAUUCCGCGUGCAGGAAGAAGGGUCUCUGACUUGUAAACUGCUUUAGCAAGGGAAGAAAAAGCUCAUGCGUGAGAAAUUGACGGUACCUUGAGAAUAAGCACCGGCUAACUACGUGCCAGCCGCCGCGGUAAUAC
rnacentral:rRNA from 1 species